rnacentral:misc_RNA from 1 species
GGGUAACAAAUAUGCACCAAUUAUUGCCUCUCUAAUCUCAUUUGCGUUCAUCUUAAUCCCUCUCAUUCUAGUCUCUCUCAUUUUCAACAAAAUCAAAGCCUAUUUCUCUCUCCAAAAACUCUUAAUCUUCAUCCAAGUUUACCUCUCUAUUUACUUCUCCAUCCUCUGCCUCUCCUCUUUAGUGACUGGCUUAGAGCCACUGAAAUUCUUCUAUGCUACAGCACAGUCCACCUACAUUUGCUUACAGCUAUUGCAAACUCUUGCUUAUGUGUUGUACCUUUUGAUGCUCCUCAUGUAUCUCAUCUUAGUAUUUUCCACUGAAACUGGACCAACAACAAAAGUCAUAGGCCUGGCUCAAACAAUUGUGGGCUUUGCUGUUGGGCUUCAUUAUUACAUGACAGUGUUUCAUAGGGCUGUGCUUCAUCAACCACCGAAAACUAGCUGGAGAGUUCAUGCAAUUUAUGCUACAUUUUUUCUUGUAAUUUGCAUCUCAAGUAAUGCAGAUAGAAGGAAAAAAGCUUAUUUAGUAGAAGGUGGUGAAGUUGAGAAAAAGAGCUAAAAAUUUUGUUUUAUCUUUUCUUUUUUUCUUACUUAAUUAAUGGUCUAUAGUUUCUACCCCCAUAUGGCAAAACAAAAAAGGGGGAGAAAAGAACAUUUUCAUUGUCC